AAUAAUUAUUAUAUAAUAAAAUUAAUUCAUUUAUUAAUCCGCGGUUCAUCCUUGGUCGAUCCAGUUACCCAGCAAUCCGGUAAGUCGUCCGGUUCAGUGUCCGGGUCGGGUUUAAAAACAUUGAUCUGGUUUGAACGAAGGCUCAGAAUCAGGUGGGAGCUAAAAUCAGAGGGUAAUGUGUCAGGCUGUUUCACAGAGCAGCGACUACUUCUCGCUCUCUGCAGUGAACGGAUACGGCUCGGAGCCACUCAGACCCGCCAAUAUGGCCUGCUGGUUCGUUUUCAGUUGAACCACCAUUUUA
rnacentral:SRP_RNA from 1 species